GACGAACGCUGGCGGCGUGCUUAACACAUGCAAGUCGAACGGAAAGGCCCUGCUUUUGUGGGGUGCUCGAGUGGCGAACGGGUGAGUAACACGUGAGUAACCUGCCCUUGACUUUGGGAUAACUUCAGGAAACUGGGGCUAAUACCGGAUAGGAGCUCCUGCUGCAUGGUGGGGGUUGGAAAGUUUCGGCGGUUGGGGAUGGACUCGCGGCUUAUCAGCUUGUUGGUGGGGUAGUGGCUUACCAAGGCUUUGACGGGUAGCCGGCCUGAGAGGGUGACCGGCCACAUUGGGACUGGGAUACGGCCAAGACUCCUACGGGAGGCAGAAGGGGGGAAAAUGGAAAAAUGGGGGGAGGCCGGAGGCAGCAACGCCGCGUGCGGGAUGACGGCCUUCGGGUUGUAAACCGCUUUCGCCUGUGACGAAGCGUGAGUGACGGUAAUGGGUAAAGAAGCACCGGCUAACUACGUG
rnacentral:rRNA from 1 species